rnacentral:ncRNA from 1 species
CAGAGUAGAACGCGCGCGUAAAGUGCCGGGAGAACGGGGAGUUGUCUCUCGGACGAAAACACGGAGAGUUUCGCGGUUGCGGUGCGCGUUUCGCAUCCCGCUG